rnacentral:tRNA from 1 species
GCCUGGGUGGCUCAGUGGGUUGAGCGUCUGACUUCAGCUCAGGUCAUGAUCUUGCAGUUCGUGGGUUUGAGCCCCAUCAUCGGGCU